UUUGAGAUUCAGAAUAACGUGAAAUCGCUGAAGUGGAACCGGAGAGAGUUAACAUAACUUGGUAGCUAUAUUCUCUAUAGUCGCUUAGCUGUGGCUUUGGGGGGUGGACGCUACCUGUUGUUGCGCUGACUGCGUUGAUCAUGCUUUCCUAACAAUGUAGUGUUGCCCACAUUGUGGUGUCUUGCUUAUUGGGAGGUUUGUCAUGGUUAACGUCAAGCCUUAGUUUCUAGGGAGUCAGUGUGAAAGUUAACCACCUUUCCCACCCGUCUUGAAACACGGACCGAGGAGUGUAAUUUACACGCGAGUCAAAGGGCUGAGGAAACCUUAUGGCAUAAUGAAAGUAAAGACCGGUUAACCGGUUGACAUGGGAUCCGACUGAACUUCUUCAAAACGGAGCACCAUGGCCCUGUCUUGUCUGCUUGCAGAUGGGCAGCGGUAGAGCGUGUAGGUUGCGACCCGAAAGAUGGUGAACUAUGCUUGAGCAGGACAAAGCCAGAGGAAACUCUGGUGGAAGUCCGUAUCGGUUCUGACGUGCAAAUCAAUCGAUAGACUUGAGUAGAGGGGCGAAAGACUAAUCGAACCGUCUAGUAGCUGGUUCCUUCAAAAAAA
rnacentral:rRNA from 1 species